UAUGUUUAGAAAUUGUUCAGGAUUAGCGAGUAAAAACAGAGAUUUGUGAAUGUUAUUAUAAUUUUAAAAAACUCCCGUUUAUGUCAAGAGAGACAAACUCUUCCCUUUAUGAAUAUAGUAACUAGACUUCAAACACAGGUGCCACCUGAAUGUUCUUAUCAGUACCACGCUAUAUUCAAUUCAAUAAUUUAAUUCAAUUUUAAGCUUAUAGUUAAAUCACAAUAUUCACCUUAAUGCACUUUGUAAGGUAAACACCCUACGUUUAAACGACCCACUAUGAGCGAGCACUUGCUGACAGCGGGAAGGAAAAACUCCCUUUUAACUGGCAGAACUCUCAAGGAGGGGCAGCCAUCUGCUGGUACCGGCUGGGGGUCAGGGGAAGAAGACAGGACAAAAGACACACUGUGGAAACCAGAAAGAGAUUAAUAACAGCUAAAUGCAGAGUGGUGUAUAAAUACAUAAUGAGUGGAAAAAGAUGAAUGAAGAAAAAACACUGAGUGCCUCCAGAAGUCUAGGCAAGUUUCAGCAUUGCUAAGCUAGGAUUCAGAGUCACGUGAUGCGGCCCUAACAGAAAAAGAAACGUUUUAAGACUAAUCUUGAAAGUAGAGUGGGUGUAUUUUCAAAAUCCAAACUGGGAGCUUAUUCCCCACAAGAGAGGCCUGAAAGCUAAAGACACUGGCUCCCAUUCUACUAAAAAAAACAAAACCAAAAAAAAACAAAACCUAGGAACCACAAGUAAACCUGCAGUCUGAGAGUAAAGAACUGCUCUGAAUUGAUCUGGUACUAUGAGCCCUUUAAGAUAAGAUGAUUAUUACCUUGUAUGUGAGGAGAAGCAUUUGAAAUUUGAUUCUGGAUUUAACAGGGAGCCAGUGAAGAGAAUAAAUAUGCUCUCUUUUUAGUCCCUGUCAGUGCUCUCGCUGCAGCAUUUUAGAUCAAUGGACAAAAAGUGGGCCACCUGCACAUUAUGCCUGCAGGAGCUGUUCCACCAUGGAAACCCAUGCCAUGUAGGUCUUGUGGCAUGUUUUUUUUCCUCCUUGAUGUCAAUGCUAGAGGAAAUUUGGA
ensembl:lncRNA